GUCCAGGGGCGGGAAUCGAACCCACACCCUUCUGCUUACCGGGCAGGUGCCUUGUCCACUAGGCUACCCUGGA
rnacentral:tRNA from 1 species